UCCGGAAAACACUAAUUUUUUAAUUCAGAUUUAUUUAUGAUCACAAAAGAAAAGCAUGUUGAUUUCUCGUUCUCUGGUGAACUGUUUUUGAUGGUGGAAUUUUUUUUUUAAGAUAAUAGGUCAUUUAUUAAGCUUCGCAUAGAAAAAUGAGUAUUUUUUUCAUGUUUAUUUGAAAAAGUCUGUUUUUUCUCAAGAGGUUCUUACCAAACUAAAAUCAGAAGCCAGCCACGGAGGAAAACAAAGGCAUUUUGACAUUCAUCACUGCUUGUGGAGGACCCCACAAGAUCCUGGGCAUGGCCAGCACUAUGGAGAAAAGCAGACCACUGGGUGAAGGUGAUACCAGCGAGUGAGAUACAUGUUGCUGGAAGAAGCCUGGAGUUUAUGUAAGCUAAAGAACAUGGCAAAGCUGCUACCUGGCUGUCAAGAUGAAGAGAAUGGUGCUUAUUUACCAGUGGACUUCAAGAAAGACAAUACAGUAAUCCCCUGUUAACUUGGAAUUCCUAUCCUACAAAAGACUGAGAUGGAAACCAAAGGAGUGGGUAGCAACAGGAGAAACAGUAAAAUAUUUACCAUUUUUUUUAAAACACACAGUAAAUGACAUUUCUAGAAGAUAGCCACUUCCAAAUUUGUUAGUGUUAAGAACCUGUUCCAAUAAGCACAUAGCUCUUCCCUUCCCUCACCUUUCCCUGGCUUCUCAUUGCAAGGACGACAAAACCCGACCUCCAUACUGUGGCUCACAGUCCCCUGAUGAUCUGGCCCCUCAUGUCCGUGCUGGCUUCCAUGGGAUCCUUAAGGCCACCACCCCUCCCACCUCAAGGCCUUUGACCUGGGGCUUCUCCCUUGCUCCUCAUUCUCCUGCUCCUUGGCUCCAGUUUGGCUCAACGAGGCUGCCCGGGGGCACACAGUCAAACUCUCAGCAUCCUUGGUCGACUUCCUUAGUGGCAUUAUGAUACUCGGCUGUGCUCUGCUUUAUGUCCUGGUGACCCUGGAACAGCACAGGUUUGAACUACAUGGGUCCAUUGAUAUGCGGAUUUUUUUUCAACAAAUAUAGUACAGCACUGUACUGUCAACGUACUUUCUCUCUCUUAGAUUUUCUUGAUAACAUUAUCUUUUCUUAGCUUACUUUAUUGUAAGAAUACGGUAUGUGAUACAUAUAACAUACAAGAUAUGGCUUAGCCGACUGUUUAUGUUAUUGGUCAGCCUUCUGGUCAACAGUAGGCUAUUAGUAGCCCUUAAGCCUUCCUAGUAUUAGUAGUUCUUAAGUUCUUUUGACUCUCCCCCAACCUUUGUCCCUCAUUUUUCCUUAAGCUCUUCUUUCAAGAAGAGCUCUUCUCUCAACGGGCGUAGCAUCCCCGGAUGGAAACCAAAACUACCCCUCAAGCAAUAAUGACUGCCCAGGUGAAGAGCUUCAGUGGCCCAGGCCCUUCUGACCAGUUCAAGCCUCACCCCUGACUCGUGCCUGCUCAGAUGGGCUAUGGAGGAACCCAUGGAGGGAUCGACAGUGACUACCUCAUUAUAAUACUGAAAUCUCCGCCUAAGAUGGAGCACAAGCCUCAUUUACAUGACACACAGCAUAUGAAUAGGCAUGUUUCCUUUAGGCACAUGUGCGACCUUAAGCCCACCUCUACAUAUGAUGAUAAGGCUCCCCUUCCUAAAUAUUCAUCCUAGCCCUAAAUAAAAGGAACCCAUUCACCCUUGCUUGAGGAGUCAUGGCUUUGAAGGUUAUUCCCGGUGAUCUCCUUACUUGCUGCAAAUCAAGUUCCCUUUGUGCAACAACUCCACUUGGUGCAAUUUCUCUAACUCACCAAGGGAUGAACUCACGUUAGUUGGACUACAGUAGGGUUUAUGGUAUAUGGUAUAUGGUAUAUGGUAUUUGGUAUAUGGAAGAAGGUAGGGGCGGGGUUUCAAAUCAGUGGGGAGAGGACAGAUUAUUCAAUAAAUGGACAUAUGAAAGAGACUAAUUUCACCAUCUCCCAUCAGAUACACCCACUUAAGCCCCGCAACCUUCCCAUAUUUCCAGAUGGAUUUAAGACCUAAAUGUAAAGCAUAGAACUUUAAAAUUAUGAGGAGAAAAUGUAGAAAUUAUCAUUAGGACCCUAGGUGAAGGAUGAGUUACUUAUUGCUAGGUGCUAAAAGCAAUUUUCAGAUCCCCAAAAUACAAAG